rnacentral:rRNA from 1 species
AUUGAACGCUGGCGGCAUGCCUUACACAUGCAAGUCGAACGGUAACAGGUCUUCGGAUGCUGACGAGUGGCGAACGGGUGAGUAAUACAUCGGAACGUGCCUAGUAGUGGGGGAUAACUACUCGAAAGAGUGGCUAAUACCGCAUGAGAUCUACGGAUGAAAGCAGGGGAUCGCAAGACCUUGUGCUACUAGAGCGGCCGAUGGCAGAUUAGGUAGUUGGUGGGAUAAAAGCUUACCAAGCCGACGAUCUGUAGCUGGUCUGAGAGGACGAUCAGCCAGACUGGGACUGUGACACGGCCCAGACUCCUACGGGAGGCAGCAGUGGGGAAUUUUGGACAAUGGGCGCAAGCCUGAUCCAGCAAUGCCGCGUGCAGGAUGAAGGCCUUCGGGUUGUAAACUGCUUUUGUACGGAACGAAAAGCCCUGGUUAAUACCCUGGGGUCAUGACGGUACCGUAGGAAUAAGCACCGGCUAACUACGUGCCAGCAGCCGCAGUAACAC